rnacentral:rRNA from 1 species
CACGUAGGGGGCAAGCGUUGUCCGGAUUUAUUGGGCGUAAAGAGCUCGUAGGCGGCUUCGUAAGUCGGGUGUGAAACCUCCAGGCUCAACCUGGAGACGCCACCCGAUACUGCUGUGGCUAGAGUCCGGUAGGGGAGCGUGGAAUUCCUGGUGUAGCGGUGAAAUGCGCAGAUAUCAGGAGGAACACCAGCGGCGAAGGCGGCGCUCUGGGCCGGUACUGACGCUGAGGAGCGAAAGCGUGGGGAGCAAACAGG